rnacentral:lncRNA from 1 species
AAUUUAAAAUUUCCAAUUUAUUUUACCCUAUAUGCUUCAUACUUUAAUAUUACAGAAAUCAUGAAAUACUUUCUAAACUCAGUCAUUGACUAACCAUUGGCUAAAUUAUUGUGAAUAUGAGGAGAAUUUGGACUUGAAAUGAUAAUGGACUGUCUUUCUUAAUUUCUUUGGUGAGUCUCUAUAUUACGGGAUUGUGCGAGGCGUUUCAGUUGUAAGUCUUUUGGAAGAGCAAUAUAGAUUGUCAUUUUUGUUUUCCAGUGAUUUGUUACUCGCCAUGUUGAUGCAAGAUUGAGUUGGUGUGUUGAUUCCAAAUUGGUACGUGACUCGUGUGGCUACUUGUGCUUUAUGUGUUGUGACUGUUUGAAUUUCGCAUUGGUGGGCAUUGUAUCUUAACAUAAUGCAACAAGCUCAAUAGCCCAACAAUAUGAAGUAUUUAUUACUACACCUAUCUGUACAUAAAAUUGUUAUUUAUAAUGUACAAAUGGAUUCGAAUCCUUCUUAUUUUUUCUCUCUUUACCCCUUCUUUUCUUCGUAAUCUAGUGGAAAUAAACUAGCUUGAUUAUAAAUAAAUUAAAAAAAUAUAUAUAGAGGUAAGAAGAAACUAAAAAAUAAAGAGAAGAUCCUUAUCCAUUCAAAUAUGGCAGCAUUAAAUGGCAUUUCCGGUAAUGGAAGCUUGAACUUAAAGCUCGUCAGUAUCUAGUAUUUGUGUGAUCAUUGGGUUAAUCUGGGGAGAAAGCAAAAUAAAAACUAAAACAAGGACAAGAUAUAUGAUAAAUUAAUUUUUUAAUCUAAAUUGGAAAAUUUUGAUCAAUUGACCUUAGAGCCGGUGGCCUUUUCAAAAUUUUUGCCAACAGUUCUAUAUGCUUAAAUGAAAAUGCUAUUGAUAAAAGAAACUAAAUUCCCAUUAAUUUUCCUUAAAAACAUUUUAAAGAAAAUCAUUCAUCAAAUCAUAAUGUUGAAAAAUUAAAGAAUUUUAGUGAAUGUAAAGUAUAAAUUUAAAUGAAUUCUAGCUUCAUUAGAGUACUAGAAUGAAAAUGCAUUUCACCUAUUUUAAUAAUAUUUUGAGUUUUGUUUCUUUUAAAAGGGUUAGGCAAGACCCCUUUAUCUAUCUAUUAAAAUAAAAAUGAAAAUAAAAACAUUUGGUAGACCAAAACCCGCAAGCUAAAAAAUAACCAACAAAAGAAAAAUAGUAAAAGCAAAUAAAAGCAAUAAAGAAUAAACAAGAGAACACCCUAAGGCAAACCUAAUAAAAUAAACCAUAUGAAAGGUGAGCUAACUCCUAGAAUACCCUUUACUAUAGUACUUGCGUCCAAUGACUAACUAAAAGCACUUUUUUGAACCUGAGGCACGAGGCUAGUAACACUAAAGUCGGGGCUAAGAUCACAUUCCAUAGUACCCUCAAGCUCAGAUAAAAAGUAUUCAUUAGCUAUAAUGAGAAAGAAUAUCUAGAGAGUGGGAAUUGAAACCUAUAGCCAUUGUGCGAAUAUUAUCCACUGCAGAUUAGAAAAAAUAGAGCCCAUGGAUAUCCUGUGAGCACCCAAAUCAUCCAAAAUCAUAUCAUCACCAUCAUUAGUCAUAUUAACUAGGAUCUGCAAAAACGAAUCACCGCGAUCCCAAGGCUUAACAACUAGAUCAGACUGAAUAGGAAUGGCAAUAUCAUCAAUAAUAAGAUCAUUAGUAAAAAUUAGAAUGAGGCCACUUGGCCAACUAAAUCCACAUCAUCAUCUCGAGCAUCAGAAAUAGGGAUUCUAGCAUCUUGAAAUGCACUUGCAGUAACAUCGGGCCAUAAAGGCUGAACCACCCCAUGAAAAAUAGGCUGCUAAGUCAAACCAGAAAAUUGUCCUUAAACAAAAGAAGGCUAAGCAAUAGGCCCCCCAUGUUGAUUAUCCACAACAACAACAUAUUGAGGAACAGUAGGAACCUAAGGCUGAACAUCUAUAACAGACAUAAAUUGCUUACCUUUUGAUAAUUGCAUAUUUUCCAUAUAUUUUGCUAUUAAUUUCUCUAUCUUUUUUUGUUUUGGUCUUAAAUAUUAUAGUUAUUUUAGUUAAUUUUUAAUUUAGUAAAUUAUAUUUUAUUGUGUUAAUUUUUAUCUUAGUUUUAUUUAUUUUGUUAUUUUAGGUAUAUUUUGGAAUUAAAGAGAAAUUAAAUCGGAGCAUUUAGGAAAGAAAUUUAAUUGAAGAUUGAAAGACAAAAGUGCACAAGAGAUCAAGAAUUAGAAGGAAUUAGAAAAUAAAUUUAAUUAAAGCUUGUUUGGGCCAAGCAAAAUUAAUGUUGCACAUGGAGCUAAAAUUAGAAAAUGGAAGUAAAAAAGGAAGCCAAGCCAUCACAUGAAAGCAAAAUUGGAAAACAAAGAUUGCAAACCAAAAGUGGCCACGUGAAAGGAAAGAGAAUAAAGCCUUUUGGCUUUAGGAAAUCAUUAUUGGCUUAUUAAUUGAAGCAUGCAAGUGGCGGUUUUGGGCUUUAAUUCUUUCCGGGCAAGGAUUUAAAAAAGCCACAAUUGAAGCAUUAUAAAUAGGAUCAAGCGGAAGCAACACUGGAGGGAAAUCAGCAGCAAGAGAAUUUGAGAUUGCAGCCGCAAGAAGGAAAAAAACAAGGGAGACGCAGCAGCCGGAAUUAAAUUAAAACAAAGGCAGCCGCUUGAAUUAAUUUUGAUGACUGGUUUUAUCAAUUCUCUUAUUCCCAAUUCAAUUAUGUUAGGUUAGAUUUUUAUUUGGUUGAGGGUGAAUUCAAAACCCUAAACAUGCUAUGCAAUUAAAUUUAAAUUGUAUCAUUCAAUUUAUUUAAUUGAGAUUGUUUAUGUUCUUCUAUAAUUAAUGUUCAUGGUUUAUUCUUAUUUUAUUUGGGUGGCCAAUUAGAUAGGACUUGAAUAAAUUUUAUUACUAGAUUAAAAUUCUUGAUCCGUAAUUGUCUUGAUAUUUUAAUCAUUAGUAGCAGGUUGGAAUUAAUGAUUUCAAUUGGAGAACAUAACCUAAGUUAAAUAAUCCGAGCUUGUGUGUUUAUUGCCUAGAUCAACCUAAUAUCUUUCUCUGUUUAAUGCUUCCAUUAUCUUAAAUUUACAGAGCUUGUUUUAAAUUAUUUAAUUGUUAGAGAUUAGGUGAAGAGCUUAUUUUGUCUAACGACACACUAAGGAAAGAUUGAGACUAACAGAGCUUAUUGUUGUCUACGGUUGAUAAUUUUAAUAUAAAUUGAUGAUAGAAUUGAUAUAUUAUGUGCAUGUUUAGUGGUAGCGAAUGAUCUUUUAACCAAAGUUUUCAUCAUUAUUAUUUCUUUCUCCUUUAAUUAUAGUUUUUAUUAAAUUCUUGUUCGUAAUUUUAAUUUCUUUAUUUCUUACUAUUUAGUUAAAAAUUCAUAAACCCCCCCUUUUAUUUUUAAUUGGCAUUUUCUUUAGUUAGAUUAAUUUAUAUUAUUAUUACUAUUACUAUUAUUUUAUUUUAAAUCUUGCUUUGGAGUUAAUAAUAAAUAUAACUAGCAUAGUCUUUGUGGGAUCGAUCUUUAUUCGCUCUGUACUAAUUAUUUAUAUUAGUGGUAAGGUUUUAAAUUUGGUGCACCUUAACGACACUACCAAAUUUUUGGCGCCGUUGCCGGGGACUAGCGUCUUGUUUGUUUAUUAUCACUCGUUUUUUUUAUUUUUUUUAUUUCUUUUCUCAUUUUAUUUAUUUAUUUUAUUUUAAUUAGUUAUUUUUUGUUCUAUAUUUAGAUUUUCAUGAGCAUAGAGGACAUUCGAUUGAAACUCGAACAACUUAGAGCAACCUCAUUAUAUUCAGAACUUGAUUUUGCCAUCCACAUUCCACUCCCGAAGAUAGAACCAAGCAGCCCAGAACCCGAACCAAUGGCUCAGAAUAACAACCGAACACUUAAAGAGUUGGCAGCUCCUAACUUGGACCAGCAACCCUUAUGCAUUGAGAAUCCAAACCCUCAAGUAAACUUUGAACUCAAAUCUGGGAUGAUUCAUCUUCUUCCUACUUUUCAUGGUCUUGCAGGAGAGGAUCCAAAUAAGCACUUGAAGGAGUUCCAUGUGGUCUGCUCCACAAUGAAACUAGCCGGAGUUUCUGAAGAGCAAGUUAAGCUAAUGGCCUUCCCAUUCUCUUUGGCGGAUUCAGCCAAGGAAUGGUUGUACUAUCUUCCCUCCGGUACUGUCACUACAUGGAAUGAGAUGCGUCAGCUAUUUUUGGAGAAAUAUUUCCCAGCAUCAAAAGCUGGCAGCAUUCGAAAAGAAAUUUGUGGAAUCCGACAAUAUAAUGGAGAAUCGCUCUACGACUAUUGGGAACGAUUCAAAAAGCUAUGUGCUAGUUGCCCUCACCAUCAGAUAAGUGAUCAACUUCUUAUUCAAUACUUUUAUGAGGGUCUACUACCUAUGGAUAGGAGUAUGAUUGAUGCCGCUAGUGGAGGAGCACUCGUGGAUAAGACACCAGAAGCAGCCCGAAAUCUCAUUGCUAACAUGGCUGCUAAUUCCCAACAGUUCAACACUAGGAACGAUCUACUGCCGCCACCUAAGCGAGUCAAUGAGGUAAGUACUACUUAUCUAGAAAAACAAGUUUUAAAUCUUACUUCUUUGGUGCAACAAUUAGCUCUAGGGCAACAAAUGAGACCGUGUGGUGUAUGUUCUAUGGUCAGACAUGCGACUGACAUGUGCCCUGCUAUCCAAGAGGGUUCACAUGAGCAAGCCAACGCAGUUGAGAGGUUCCUAGGCCAACCAAGACAAAGGUAUAAUCCCUACUCUAAUUUUUACAAUGAAGGUGGAAGGAUCACCCUAAUUUUAGGUAUGGGAAUCAACAACAAGGCAUUUCUAAUGUGGCACCGUCUCGACCACCGGGCUACCCCCAACACCGGGUGCAACAGCCCUACCAAGUUCGGCCACCUCCACCUCCUCAAAAUCAAGGUACGUCUUUGGAAGAUCUUGUAAAAGCUCUCGCUACUAACUCUAAGCAAUUCCAAUAGACUACCCAGACGCAGCUCCAACAUUUAGAGAAUCAAAUUGGCCAACUAGCCACAUCUGUGAGUAGGAUAGAGGGUAGAACUUCAGGAAAGUUACCUUCUCAACCAGAAAUUAAUCCAAAGGAGAAUGCUAGUGCUAUGUCUCUCAGGAGCGGAAAGCAAUUAGAACCAUUAUUAUCUAAGCCAUCAAAAGUAUCCACAACAUUAUCACCAUCUGUGACCAAUUCCUCACCUGAGGCUCUUCCUUUAACAAGGAAAGAUGAUUCCCACUCGGCAUUGCCAGUCGAUCCAUCUGGCCAGGUAAGUAUCCCCUCACCUCGAAUUAAGACUCUCUCCAUUCCUCCACCAUUUCUUAACAGAUUUAAACAAUCCAAGAAAGAGGAGCAAGAAAAAGAGAUCCUUGAGACCUUUCAUAAACUAUCGGUAAAUAUUCCUCUACUUGAUGCUAUUAAACAAGUGCCACGUUAUGCAAAGUUUUUGAAGGAAUUAUGCAGCAACAAACGAAAGUUGAGCGGUAACGAAAAGGUAAGUGUUGGAGAGAAUGUUUCUGCUGUACUUCAAAGAAAACUUCCGCCUAAGUGCAAGGAUCCAGGUACUUUCACUAUCCCCUGCACUAUUGGUAAUACUAGAUUCGAAAGAUGUAUGCUAGAUUUAGGGGCCUCAAUUAAUGUUAUGCCAUACUCAAUUUAUAACUCCUUGAAUUUAGGUCCAAUGGAAGAAACUGGUAUAAUUAUUCAAUUGGCUGACAGAUCUAAUGCUUACCCGAAGGGGGUUAUGAAAGAUGUUCUUGUGCAGGUCAAUGAAUUGGUCUUUCCAGCUGAUUUUUAUAUCCUUGAAAUGGAGGAUGAGUUGUCGCCCAAUCCCACUCCUAUUCUAUUGGGGCGGCCAUUUCUUAAGACAGCCCGAACCAAGAUUGAUGUUCACGAUGGAACCCUCACAAUGGAAUUUGAUGGUGAAGUGAUCUGCUUCAAUAUCUUUGAGGCAAUGAGGUAUCCUAGUGAUGUUCAUUCUGUUUUUGCCAUGGAUGAUAUUAAUACUUUGGUGCAGGAUUUCUUUGAAUUAUCCGGUAAUGACAGUUUUGAAAUUGCGAUAAGCAAAAAUCUUACAAACGAUGAUUCUAAGGAACAUGCAAAGUUGAUAAAGUUGGAUGAUGAGGUAGAGGACGCUAUGGCGAUCUUAGAUGGAGCAGUCACAUUACGCACCCAUGGGUAUAAUGUUUCUUACCUUGAAUUGCCUUUAUUAAACGAGAAACUUUUACCUUCAAUUGUGUAGACACCUACCUUAGAACUUAAACCACUCCCAGAACACCUGCAAUAUAUUUACUUGGGUGAGAAUGAAACACUUCCAGUCAUAAUUGCUAAAACCCUCACCCUAGUUCAACAAGAAAAAUUAAUUAGGGUGCUUCGGGAUCACAAGACGGCGAUUGGUUGGACCAUUGUCGACAUUAAGGGAAUUAGUCCUUCCAUGUGCAUGCAUCGCAUUUUGCUAGAGGAAUGGUCUAAACCAACGAGAGAUGCACAACGCCGCCUUAAUCCACCAAUGAUGGAAGUCAUAAAAAAGGAGAUACUGAAACUCCUUAGUGUGGGGAUUAUUUAUCCCAUUUCUGAUAGUAAAUGAGUGAGUCCUGUGCAGGUAGUUCCAAAAAAAUCAGGCAUCACAAUGGUCAAGAAUGAAGAAAACGAGCUUGUGCCAACUAGAGUUCAAACUGGGUGGAGAGUUUGCAUUGACUAUCGUAAACUGAAUGCAGCCUGAUGGGUGUCGAAGCCAACAAAAAUAAAUUCCUACUCUAAAUAAAUUGUGUAUAGUGAUUGAGCAGGGUCGUGUCCACAGAGAUCGGUAAUUAUUUAAAUCCUUUUGAAACGUAAAACGUAAAAUGGGGGAAUUGUAGACAAUAAUAAAAAUCAAAUUAAAUAACAAGAAUACAAAUUAAAGUUGUAAUUCAAAUUGGAGAAAGCUCUGGUUGAAGGAAUUAACUCAGCUUGAUUCGACUACUGAUCAUUGAUUCAAAUAUAGAUUAUUAUUAUUACUUAUGAAUAGACCGGUUAUAGCUACUGAGACCCUCUAAUAGCCAAUCUCUCCUUAACUAGUCGAUAACCAAGGUACGACCGUUGGUUAUUUCCCUAAUCAAUAGACAACCCUAGAUACGAUCAUAGGAUUUAAUUAAUUGACAGCCUGAAAAACCAGAGAGACCCAAAUCAUAAUCAACACAUAUGAUGAUUCAUUUAAAUUAGAUUGUUUAUUCUCACAACACAACUCUCUGCUAUGUUAUUUGUCACAAACAUUAAAUUCUUCAUACGAUGAAUCCUUUAAUUGAUAAUAGAUUAAGUUGAUAAUUAAAUAGUGGCCAAUUACCUAAUUAACAAACAUAAUCAUGAAACUAAUUCAGAGAAUAAACAAAUACCCAAAAAGUAAUAAAACAAUUAAAGCAUAAGAAAGAUCUCACAGUAGUGAUGAAUCAAAGCUUCAUUAACCUUCAACCAGAAAAAUAAGUUUAGUUCUUCAUAGAGAGAAUAGAAAAAUUAGAUCUAGGGUUUCUUUCUUUUUCUCCAAUCCAAAAUCCCCCCUCCUUCUUUCACAAUAGAUUCCUCCUUAAAUACUCUCUCUCUCUUCUAUUUUAGAGUUCUAUUUAAAAUAAAAUACUAAUAUCUUAAAUAUUAAAUUCGUAAUUACAAAAAUAGCCAAAAAUACAAAACACGUUAAACUAAAAACUGCAGGUCCGCAGUUGACAGCACGCGCCCACGCCUUAUCAAUAAAGUUCUUCUGCCGCUCAUAAUUUCUCCAAGAGAACAAUCAUCCUUAAAAAUCAUCUUGUAGCUCAAUUUUAUCACCAAUCAAUAGAAUUGCACCUACAAAAGUAAAACACAAGUAAAUCAUUAUUAUUAAGUGCAAAACAUCGAUAUUAAGGGAAGUAAACAAUGCAAAACUAGUGCAUAAAUUGCACUCUAACACAGCCACUUGCAAGGAUCAUUUUCCUUUGCCAUUCAUUGAUCAAAUGCUUGAAAGGUUAAGUGGUCACUCUUAUUAUUGUUUUCUUGAUGGUUACUCAGGUUAUAAUCAGAUCGUUAUCGCUCCGGAAGACCAAGAGAAAACGACAUUUACAUGCCCCUUCGGAACAUUUGCUUACAGACGCAUGCCGUUUGGUCUCUGUAACGCUCCUGCCACUUUCCAAAGGUGUAUGAUGAGUAUUUUUUCUGAUUAUGUGGAGAACAUCAUUGAGGUAUUUAUGGAUGAUUUUACAGUUUAUGGUGAUUCUUUUGAUAAAUGUUUAGAUAACCUUACACGUUUUCUUAAACGAUGCAUUGACACUAACCUUAUGCUUAAUUAGGAAAAAUGUCAUUUUAUGAUUAAUCAAGGUAUUGUACUAGGCCAUGUUAUUUCUGAAAAGGGGAUUAAAGUUGAUAAAUCUAAGAUAAGUCUUAUACGCUCUUUACCACCUCCCACUAGUGUGAGGGAAGUUCGUUCUUUUCUUGGUCAUACAGGUUUCUAUCGCAGGUUUAUCAAGGACUUCUCCAAGAUAGCUUUACCUCUCUGCAAUUUACUUCAAAAUGAUGCAACGUUUGACUUCAAUGAAGAGUGCCAAAGAGCUUUUAAGAAGUUAAAAGAGGUUUUGACAUCGGCCCCUGUGAUUCAACCACUAAACUGGGAUUUACCAUUUGAGAUUAUGUGCGAUGCCAAUGACUAUGCUGUUGGAGCCGUGUUGGGCCAGCGUGUGGGCAAGCUUCCUCAUGUCAUAUAUUAUGCCUCUCGUACAUUGAAUGAUGCACAACUUAACUACUCCACCACAGAGAAAGAACUUUUAGCAGUUAUCUUUGCCUCAGAGAAAUUUCAUUCUUAUUUAAUUGGAUCUAAGGUGAUCGUUUACUCUGACCAUGCAGCUAUUAGGUACUUACUCACCAAAAAGGAUGCCAAGCCACGCCUUAUUCGAUGGAUACUUUUAUUGCAAGAAUUUGACUUAGAGAUUCUAGAUAAGAGAGGUUCUGAGAAUUUAGUGGCAUAUCAUUUAAGUCGACUUACCUAUAACGAAGAUGCACUUCCAUUGCAUGAGAAUUUUCCAGAUGAGCAGUUACUACAUGUAGGUAUAGUUACUCCUUGGUAUGCAGAUAUUGUCAAUUACUUGGUUACCAAGACAAUACCCAAAGAGAUAACCUGUGCACAAAAGGCCAAGAUCAAGAGUGAUGCCAAGUAUUAUGUGUGGGAUGAGCCAUAUUUGUGGAAGCAUUGUUCUGAUCAAGUUAUUAGAAGGUGCGUACCCGAAACUGAAUUUACUUCUAUUCUCACAUUUUGUCAUACUUUGGCUUGUGGAGGACAUUUUGGACUAAAGAGAACAGCUCUUAAGGUACUUGCGAGUGGUUUUUAUUGGCCAUUACUAUUUAAAGACGCAUAUUUGUUUGGCAAAUCUUGUGAUCGUUGUUAGAGAACAUGUAAUUUGGGACCUAGAAAUCAAAUGCCACAAUCUCCUAUAUAUUCUUUUUUUUNNNNNNNNNNNNNNNNNNNNNNNNNNNNNNNNNNNNNNNNNNNNNNNNNNNNNNNNNNNNNNNNNNGGUUGAUUAUGUUUCAAAAUGGGUGGAAGCAAAAGCCACCCGAACUAACGAUUCUAAGGUUGUGGUAGAUUUUAUAAAGAGUAACAUCUUUACAAGGUUUGGAACACCAAAGGAAAUUAUCAGCGACAGAGGCACUCACUUUUGUAACAGGUCAGUAGAAGCCCUCUUUCGAAAAUACAACAUCACUCACAAGGUGUCUACAUCCUACCAUCCACAAACUAGUGGGCAAGUUGAGGUGUCUAAUAGGGAAGUGAAAUCAAUCCUUGAAAAGACAGUUAAUCCGAAUAGAAAGGACUGGAGCCUACGGCUUGAUGAUGUACUUUGGGCAUAUAGGACCGCAUACAAAACUCCUAUUGGUAUGUCACCCUACAGGUUGGUAUAAGGUAAGCCUUGUCAUCUUCUAGUGGAACUUGAACAUAAAGCAUGGUGGGCUGUGAAACAAUGUAACAUGGAACUGGACGCCGCCGGCCAACACAGAAAGCUCCAAUUGCAAGAAUUAGAGGAAAUUCGAAAUGAUGCCUAUGAGCAUUCACGAAUCUAUAAGGAAAAGAAUAAGGUUUUUCAUGACAAGCAGAUCUUGAAAAAGAAUUUUAAAGUUGGACAGAAAGUUUUGCUAUUCCAUUCUUGCCUUAAGUUGUUUCCAGGUAAGUUAUGUUCUUGAUGGGUUGGGCCUUUUGUUGUUAUUAAUGUUUUUCAUCAUGGUGCAGUUAAGAUCAGGAGCUUAAAGACUGGUAAAGAGUUCAAAUUUAAUGGUCAUAGGUUGAAGCCUUACUAUGAAAACUUUCAGACACUCAAUGUAGAUGAGGCUCCACUUCAUGAACCUGCGUACGUUGUUGAGUGAAACUUGAGAACCAUGUCAGGCUGAGGACAAUAAACCAAGCGCUUAUUAGGAGGCAACCCAAUGGCUGGAGAAAAGAUUUUGAGAGCACGCCAUAACAGAUUUGAUUUUUCUCCCUCUCAUUCUCAUUUACUUUACCCACUUUGUGUUGAAUUUUGUUUGUUUCUGUUUGUGUGUCUCAUCUCAUUUCCCCAUGUUUAAUUCUUUCUUUUGUUCGCUUAGGAUUACAUUGAGGACAAUGUAAGAAUUAAGUGUGGGGGGGGGUGGAUUUCGAACUUAGUUUUUGUUGCUUCGUCUUUUUCUUUUUCUUUUUAAAAAACCAACAAACCAAAAAAAACAAAAAAAAACAUUGUUUUGAAUAUUAGCCAGUGAUAAGAAUUUGAUUGACAAUGAAUAUGGUUCUUAGAAAGGGUUGAAUAUUACCUUAGUUUAUACUUGAUUCUUGUGUUGAUUUCCUCUUAAUUGAGAUUCUUUAAACCAUGAGCACUAAUAUCAAUUCUUUCAUAAUUUUGACUUAGAAUUUGAGAUUGACGCAGCCUAAGUUGAGAAUUUUAGAUUGAGUAAAUGAAUGUUUGUCUUGAUUCUUAUCUCCACAAUACAGUGUAGUAUACACAUGCACCAUAGUCAGAAAUAGCUACCUAUAACCCUUAAGAGUGAAGCUAUCCUUGAGUAAUUUGGGCCUAUGUACCACCAGUAUGUAGAGGAUAAUCUACCAUGAGAAGAAGGCUACCUUAAGGGGUAGAGUGAAAGCUCCUGACCAAAAAAAAAAAAAAAAAAAGAACUUCAAAAGAAAAUGCACACAAAUGCCUGUAAAAGAAGAAAAAAAAUUAGAGAUCAAGAUGAUAAGAUUAGUUUGACCUACUCUUUUCUUUGUUCGAGGCAAAGGCUGUUGAUAUUGAAGAUUUUGGGAAUGAAUUUUAAUUGAAUUGAUUCACACACACACUAUGAGAAUCAAAAGAGAGAUGGGAUUAACUAUUGAAUUAAAGUUAGAACUUCGAUAAUAUUUGAAAUUUUCUUUGAGCUAUAUGACUUAUACAAUCUUUGAGGCUAUUUUUAUUUUAAAUUCUUUUGUUCUUUGUUCUAAAAAAAAAAACUUGCAAUGAUGUUUGUGGGUAUCAUCGCUGAAGCCCUCACGAGACUGUAACUCGUCCACUAGGGCCGCUUAGGGGUUUAAAGGCUUGUUGCAUACGCUAAAUGCAAUCGUGAUUUCCUACGAAAGUGGUCUAGUUUAGGUUUUCUUUUUAUUUUUGUUCUAGGUUUGCUCGAGGACGAGGAAAGGGUAAGUGUGAGGGAAUUUGAUAAGUCCAUAUUUUUCAUAUAUUUAGCUAUUAAUUUCUCUAUCUUUUUCUUGUUUUGGUCUUACAUAUUCUAGUUAUUUUAGUUAAUUUUUAAUUUAGUAAAUUAUAUUUUAUUGUGUUAAUUUUUAUCUUAGUUUUAUUUAUUUUGUUAUUUAGGUAUAUUUUGGAAUUAAAGAGAAAUUAAAUUGGAGCAUUCAGGAAAGAAAUUUAAUUGAAGAUUGAAAGACAAAAGUGCACAAGAGAUCAAGAAUUGGAAGGAAUUAGAAAAUAAAUUUAAUUAAAGCUUGUAUGGGCCAAGCAAAAUUAAUGUUGCACAUGGAGCUAAAAUUAGAAAAUGGAAGUCAAAAAGGAAGCCAAGCCAAUUAACAAGCCAAGCCAUCACAUGAAAGCAAAAUUGGAAAACAAAGAUUGCAAACCAAAAGUGGCCACGUGAAAGGAAAGAGAAUUUUAGGAAAUCAUUAUUGGCUUAUUAAUCGAAGCAUGCAAGUGGCGGUUUUGGGCUUUAAUUCUUUCCAGGCAAGGGUUUAAAAAAGCCACAAUUGAAGCAUUACAAAUAGGAUCAAGCGGAAGCAACACUGGAGGGAAAUCGGCAGCAAGAGAAUUUGAGAUUGCAGCUGCAAGAAGGAAAAAAACAAGGGAGACGCAGCAGCCGGAAUUAAAUUAAAACAAAGGCAGCCGCUUGAAUUAAUUUUGAUGACUGGUUUUAUCAAUUCUCUUAUUCCCAAUUCAAUUAUGUUAGGCUAGAUUUUUAUUUGGUUGAGGGUGAAUUCAAAACCCUAAACAUGCUAUGCAAUUAAAUUUAAAUUCUAUGAUUCAAUUUAUUUCAUUGAGAUUGUUUAUGUUCUUCUAUAAUUAAUGUUCAUGGUUUAUUCUUGUUUUAUUUGGGUGGCCAAUUAGAUAGGACUUGAAUAAAUUUUAUUACUAGAUUAAAAUUCUUGAUCCGUAAUUGUCUUGAUAUUUUAAUCAUUAGUAGCAGGUUGGAAUUAAUGAUUUCAAUUGGAGAACAUAACCUAGGUUAAAUAAUCCGAGCUUGUGUGUUUAUUGCCUAGAUCAACCUAAUAUAUUUCUCUGUUUAAUGCUUCCAUUAUCUUAAAUUUAAAGAGCUUGUUUUAAAUUAUUUAAUGGUUAGAGAUUAGGUGAAGAGCUUAUUUUGCCUAACGAUACACUAAGGAAAGAUUGAGACUAACAGAGCUUAUUGUUAUCUACGGUUGAUAGUUUUAAUAUAAAUUGAUGAUAGAAUUGGUAUAUUAUGUGCAUGUUUGGUGGUGGCGAAUGAUCAUUUAACCAAAGUUUUCAUCAUUAUUAUUUCUUUCUCCUUUAAUUAGAAUUUUUAUUAAAUUCUUGUUCGUAAUUUUAAUUUCUUUAUUUCUUACUAUUUAGUUAAAAAUUCAUAAACCCCCCAUUUUAUUUUUAAUUGGCAUUUUCUUUAGUUAGAUUAAUUUAUAUUAUUAUUACUAUUACUAUUAUUUUAUUUUAAAUCUUGCUUUGGAGUUAAUAAUAAAUAUAACUAGCAUAGUCUCUGUGGGAUCGAUCCUUACUCGCUCUGUACUAAUUAUUUAUAUUAGUGGUAAGAUUUUAAAUUUGGUGCACCUUAACGACACUACCACCUUUAUCUCUAGUAUCUUUACCCUGAGGUUUAUUAAUAGGUUGUUGAGGCUUUUGAAGCCCAAAAUUACUACAUAGCAACCAUUUGCAUAAUGACCAAAGUGCUUAUACAAAACACAAUAAGAAACAAUCUAUUCAAAAAUCAUACCCAAAGUCAGAAUCACCUUCACUAAUCCAAAGGCAAGGUAAAAAAUGUCACGAAACAUCAUUUUCUAUCAAAACUGUAGCAAAUGAAAGCCUAUUAAUAGAACCAAUAGCAUGGUCAACACGUAAAGUUUUCCCUAUCACAGCAACGAUUAAACAUGAUGCUUCUUUGCAAUGAAUAAAGUGAAUAGGUACAUACAGCAAAGAAACCCAAAUAGAAAUCACAAGGGACUCCUUAGAACAAUAAAUGGUAGUGGACCAUUUAAAGAUCCUCAUAGCUUUACAAUUGAUAUAUCAUGUCUGCCUAACCCAAAUUUCUGGGAUAGUCUUCCUCUAACUGAAGCUUUCUUAAAACAUGUCAGUUAUCAGGCAAGGUGCUUGAGUACUGCUUUUUAAGCCAAGGAGAAAAGAGAACUUACCCACCAGAGAUAGCUUGAAUGGUUUAGCCAUGGUCGAAACCUCAGCAACUAUAAAAUGAAUAGCAGGUUCGCCUCGAUGAAGGAUGCCCAUAUUAAAAAAUAAAGAUAGCCAAUACAACAAAGGAUUUAGAGGGCCUAGAGGCAACAUUAGGGUCAAGGAUGGACAUUGGAUUGACUGCAGAAGCAUAUAAUAACUUAGGGAUAGUAGAAGAGUAAUAGGUAGAAGGAUUUGUGCUGGUGGUCAAGCUAAGGUGGGCCCAUAAAUAGGUUGCACACUAUCAGUGUUUGUUUUGUCCCGAUCUAAGAUUUGAGAUAGAUUGUGAGCAUGCAUUUGCAAAGAGGCAGUGGCUUGUUUGUGAUUAAUGGUCAUUAAAGACAUUAUAGGCGGUUGGGCAGGAUUAAGAAAGGCCAAUCCAAUGAGGGAUGCAGCAGCUGUUGGUGAUGAGUGGCAAUGAUAGAAGGCAACAAAGUCAAUGGAAGCAACUGUUGGUGAUGAGACGCAUGCCACUGACUAGGGUUUGGCGCACGCGUGUGUGAAAGAGACACGAUCAGUGGGAUUUGGUAAGGGUGAUGGCUAUGAGGCAGUUGUAGGGUGCCAUGGAAGGGAUUAAAUCAUCACUACGGAUGGUGGGGGGGGGGGGCGACGACAUGAGAAGGAAAGCGAGCAAUGUUUGGCAACAUUGCAAGGCCAAAAGCGGCCACCAAAAGGAGUUGUGUGUGGUGAAAGGCCUUCCGGCUAGUUGCAUGGUGGCCGGUGGUGAGGGGUGGUGCUGACAGUGUCUUGUCGCCACCAUCGGCAGCCGGUGAGGCCAUACCAGCGACAAGAAAGUAAAAGGAGUGUGGCGGCUAUAUGAAUUGGGGUUUCAUCGUUUUAUCUUUUUUUUUAUUAAAUUAUCUGGUAUUUGAUGAGCA